GACGAACGCUGGCGGCGCGCCUAACACAUGCAAGUCGAACGAGGUCUUUUAGAAAGCUUGCUUUCUGGCUGACCUAGUGGCGGACGGGUGAGUAACACGUGAGCAACCUGCCGAGGAGUGGGGGAUUACGUCUGGAAACGGACGCUAAUACCGCAUAACAUCAAGGGAUGGCAUCAUCUUUUGAUCAAAGGAGCAAUCCGCUUUUUGAUGGGCUCGCGCCCGAUUAGAUAGUUGGUGAGGUAAUGGCUCACCAAGUCAACGAUCGGUAGCCGGACUGAGAGGUUGAACGGCCACAUUGGGACUGAGACACGGCCCAGACUCCUACGGGAGGCAGCAGUGGGGAAUAUUGCACAAUGGGGGAAACCCUGAUGCAGCAACGCCGCGUGAAGGAAGAAGGGUUUCGGCUCGUAAACUUCUAUCAACAGGGAAGAAAUAAAUGACGGUACCUGAAUAAGAAGCCCCGGCUAACUACGUGCCAGCCGCCGCCGUAAGAC
rnacentral:rRNA from 1 species